CCUACGGGCGGCAGCAGUGGGGAAUAUUGCGCAAUGGGCGAAAGCCUGACGCAGCGACGCCGCGUGAGGGAUGAAGGUCUUCGGAUCGUAAACCUCUGUCAGCAGGGAAGAACGGUCACUGUGCUAAUCAUCAGUGAAUUGACGGUACCUGCAAAGGAAGCACCGGCUAACUCCGUGCCAGCAGCCGCGGUAAUACGGAGGGUGCGAGCGUUAAUCGGAAUUACUGGGCGUAAAGCGCUCGUAGGCGGUAUGUCAAGUCAAGGGUGAAAUCCCCGCGCUCAACGUGGGAACUGCCUUUGAAACUGGCAAACUGGAGUGUGGGAGAGGAUAGUGGAAUUCCAGGUGUAGGAGUGAAAUGCGUAGAUAUCUGGAGGAACAUCAGUGGCGAAGGCGACUAUCUGGCACAUAACUGACGCUGAGGAGCGAAAGCGUGGGUAGCAAACAGGAUUAGAUACCCUUGUAGUC
rnacentral:rRNA from 1 species